UACGUAGGGAGCAAGCGUUAUCCGGAUUUACUGGGUGUAAAGGGCGCGUAGGCGGGAUGGCAAGUCAGAUGUGAAAUCCAGGGGCUCAACCCCUGAACCGCAUUUGAAACUGUCGUUCUUGAGUACUGGAGAGGUUGACGGAAUUCCUAGUGUAGCGGUGAAAUGCGUAGAUAUUAGGAGGAACACCAGUGGCGAAGGCGGUCAACUGGACAGCAACUGACGCUGAGGCGCGAAAGCGUGGGGAGCAAACAGG
rnacentral:rRNA from 1 species